ACCCGGGUAAGUCUCUUUUACCUUUGGUCGAGUCUGGUCGAUACAAUGUGUACGGCCGGUACGGCCUGUACGGCCCGUCCGUACCAAACUCUCCCAUGCUCUCCAUUCCUUAGUUCUACACUUCCUUAUCUCUUCAUGCCUUCAACCCCUCAUCUCUUCUCCUUAUACUCAGCUCAUCUCAACAGGAAUCACCUGAUUUGAAAGUGGGAUAUCUUCUUCAUCCCAACUCCUAUGAGAUUUAUUCAACUUCCUGGUGAUUAUCCACCACUUUAUUUAUUCAAAUCAAGCUUCUCACAAAGUGAUACAUCCUGGUUUGAUUGGAACGACGAAGAAGCUGUGCUAUUCCCAAAUGACUUAGGGGAUCAGCUCCUUCUCUUACCAAGAUCAAUGAGUCCCAAUCUAAUGUGAAUGGACUCCAUUGUCUUUUGCCUUGCAGCCUUGGUGAACACAUCCGCUAACUGAUCUUCACUUCUAGUGUAGCAUGGCAAGAUCACUCCUAGCACAAUCAUCUGCCUCACCUUGUGACAAUCAACCUCAAUGUGCUUGGUUCUCUCAUGAAACACCGAGUUGGAGGCAAUGUGAAUGGCAGCUUGGUUAUCACAAUGCAUUGUCAUUGGCGUGGCUUGAUCAAUCUCCAAAUGCUUCAAGAUGCCCUUGAUCCACACCAGCUCGUUGGUCAGCUUCAGCAUAGCUCUAUACUCGGCUUCUGCACUUGAGCAAGACACCACCUUCUGCUUCUUACUCUUCCAAGUAACCAAGUUGCCUCCAAUGAAUGUGCAAUAGCCUGUGGUUGAUCUCCUGUCUGCUCUAUCACCAGCCCAAUCCGCAUCACAGUAUCCAACCACUUCAGUGCUCCCAUUGCAACCCAUCCAUACUCCUUGAUCAGGUGAGCCGUUGAGGUACAUCAAGAUCCUCUCCACCAUGCGCCAAUGAUGUUCCUUAGGCACUUGCAUGUGUUGACUCACCUGAUUCACAGCAAAGCAAAUAUCAGGUCUAGUUAUGGUAAGGUAAAUCAAUUUACCAACUAGCUUUCUAUAGAGUUUAGGAUCCUGAUAAGGUUUGCUGUCUUCAAUCUCCCCCUCUCGUGGGACUUUGUAGCCAUCCUCCAUAGGCAUCCUUGCUGUCUUGCCUCCAUAAGCACCUGCACCUUUCAAAAGAUCAAGUGUAUACUUCCUUUGGGACAUGAACAAACCUUCCUUGGAUCUACAUAUCUCAAUUCCAAGAAAGUAUUUCAUUUCUCCCAAGUCUUUAAUCUCAAACAUGGAUUUAAGAAACUCCUUGGUUGCUAUGAUACCUUCCUUAUCACUUCCUGUGAUAAUGAUAUCAUCAACAUACACAAGGAGUGCAAUCAUACCUGAGGAAGUAGUGAGAGUGAAGAGGGUGUGGUCUAGUUCAGACUUUUUGAAGCCUCGGCCAUUCAGAGUGGUACUCAGCUUGUUGUACCAAGCUCUUGGUGAUUGCUUUAGUCCAUAGAUGGCUUUCUUCAGUCUCAACACAUUCCCUCUCUUCACUAAGUGUUCCAAGCCUGGAGGUGGAUGCAUAUACACUUCAUCCUCCAGCUCUCCUUGUAGAAAUGCAUUCUUCACAUCCAUUUGCCAUAAGCCCCAUCCAAGGUUCACAGCUAAGCUUAAGACAAUCCGGAUUGUGUGAAGUUUAGCUACUGGUGCAAAGGUCUCAAUGUAAUCUUCUCCAUAAGUCUGAGUAAAGCCUCUUGCAACCAAUCUUGACUUCUUCCUCUCCACCUUUCCAUCAGCCUUAUACUUGAUUGUGAAGAUCCAUCUACUAGUCACCGCCUUCUUCCCUUUUGGUAACUCACUCUCAUACCAUGUAUCAUUCUUGAUCAUAGCUCCUGCCUCAGCUCCAACUGAUUCCUUCCAUUCUUUAUCCAUCAUUGCCUCUUCAUAGCUUCUUGGUAUGUAGUUCUCAUCCAAGUUUACCAUAAAAGCACAAUGUUCUUCAGGGUAUUGAGCAAAGGAACACACAGCUUGAGAAGGAUGCUCCACAGCCUGGGCAUUGUAGUACACUCUCGUGCUUACCCAGUUGGAAGCAUCUCUCCUGAUCCGUGUGCUUCUUCUCAAUGCUGGUUCCGGUUGUUCCACUUGUGAUUCUUCUCCACUUUCUUGUGGUACAGAAGUAGACACUUCAACUGCCUCUUCUUCUCCUAGCUGACUUGCUUCAGCUCCAUCUUGCUGUUCACUUACUUCCACAUCUUGAUCAUGUGUACCAGAUGCUUCACUACUCUCUUGAGUUGUCUCUGGUUCACUCCUUUCCCCCCCCAUGAUCAGAAGUGGGAGUUGCUGAACGCCCACCAGUUGGUGGUUGAGAUCCUGGGUUACUGCCAGAUCCUUGCUGAUCUUGUCUCACCUUGACUCCAAUACUUUCUAAGAUGAUCCGCAAGGUAGUGGCUCUCUCCGAGGUAAGAUCCUUCAAGUCUUCUUUGUUUUGCUCCUCAUAAUAUCCUCUCUCUUCAACAAACUUCACAUCCCUUGAUACCAGCACCCUUCUUGUGUCUGGAUUAUAACACUUGUAUCCCUUUUGAGUUGUAGAGUAGCCAAUAAACAUUGCCUUAGUACUCCUAGCUUCAAGCUUGUUUCUCAACUCCCCGGGUAUCAAAACAUAACAUAAACACCCAAAGAUCCUUAUAUGUUCUAAUGAGGGUUUAUGUUUGUUGAGAACCUCAAAUGGUGACUGCCCUUUCAGGAUCAGUGUGGGAGUCCUGUUGAUUAGAUAGCAGGCCGUGGCUACUGCAUCACUCCAAAACUUCUUAGGUACAUUAGCUUGAAACAUCAUUGAUCUUGCAACUUCCAUAAGGUGCCUAUUCUUCCUCUCAGCCACACCGUUCUGUUGUGGAGUGUAGGGACAGCUUGUUUGAUGAAGAAUUCCAUACUGAGAUAAGUGUUGCUUGAAAGCUUGUCCAAUGUAUUCUCCUCCAUUAUCUGACCUGAAAAUCUUAAUCUUGGCUUGAUAAUGGUUAGUUACAUAGGAUUGAAAAUUUUUAAAUGCAUCAAGUACCCUAUCUUUAGUUGGAAUUAAGGUUAACCAGGUGUAUUUAGAUUUUUCAUCAAUGAAUGAGACAUAAUACUUAUGAUUCUCUCUAGAUAAACAAGGAGCAGUCCAUACAUCAGAGUGAAUAAGAUCAAAGCACUUCUCAUAAACCGUAGAAGAGUUUGGAAAAACAGUUUUACAAUGCUUGCCUAAAAUGCAAGCUUCACAAUCAUUGUUUUCAAAAGAAACACCUGGCAACAUCAGUUUUAAAGCCUUAUUAUGAGGGUGUCCUAGUCUAGCAUGCCACAAUGCAUUCUUAUUUAAACUAGGAACAGAAGCAGUAGUAAACGAGCAGCUAAUAUCAGAAACAGGAGCAAGAUCUUCAAGCAAAUAUAAGUCUCCUUUUGUUACUCCUUUUCCAAUCACUUUGCUGCUUUCAAUAUCCUGAAACUUCACAUCAUCAGGGCUAAAUAUGACAUUGCAUUGCAAAUCAGUUGCACAUUUCUUGACAGAUAAUAAGUUUGAAGUAAAGUCAGGCAUAUAGAAAGCUUUUGAGUCUUUACUAAACAGUUUAAGUGUUCCUAUUCCUUUAAUUGGAACCUUAUCCCCAUUUGCAAUCAUCACAUGACCCUUAGUAGGCACAAUGUUCUUAAUUAACUUAGUAUCACUAAUCAUGUGAUGUGAAGCACCUGAAUCUACAAUAAGAGGUCUAGUUGAUUGAUUACUAGCAAGGUGAGCGAGUAUACUAGAUGGCUUAUAUGCAUUGUAGUUAUUUGCACUUCUUAGAGACCUAGCUAUACUAUCAGUUCUAGUGAUGCAAUCUAAGUCUCCUACAGUCCUAGCAAUCAUGGAAGCACCAUAAGAAUAACCAUAGAUGUUACCGUUAUCCUUGAACAUCUUGAUGAGUGCAUCAAUGUCAGCCUUCCUUAUGAAGUCCUGAUCAUUGUUGCGGCUGCUAGGAGCUCCCAUGUACGCCACCAGAGACUUGCCAUCACUUGUACCACCUUCUUGAGCCUUGCUAGUACCCACAUCACUUGACCCGUCAGACAUGUGAGCUCUAGCUUCCCUUUCCUUCAUGAACUUUGCCGGUUUGAGGUGUGGGUGGAGUAUCCAACACUGGCUCUUCUUGUGGCCUUGCUUCUUGCAAUGAUCACAGCUCCCAUUGAACCUCCUAUCCUCAAACUUCCCAUUCGUAGCUCUGUUAGCUUGUGGAGUCUCUCCUUGCUCAGCUUGAGCGGCUUGGUUAGCUAAAGACAACUCCCCCUUCUUCCCAAACAACCCAAUUGACCCUUGCUCUUUCUGAAUCCUAGAACACACUUCCUCCAAGUCAGGUAGAGUAUCAUCUCUCAGCAUGUGUUGUAUCAGCCCACUGUAUGCCGGAUUCAGUGUCAAGAGCAGUCCAAAGACCUUGUCCUGCUCACGCCUUUUGAUUAGCUCACUAGGAUCCACCGUGCUUGGCCUCAACAUCUCUAGCUCGGACCAGAGUGACCUGAACCUUCCUAGGUGCUUGGUAAACUCCAUGUCUUCUUGAGUCAAGUUGUUGAUCUCUUGCUUUACCUCAAAGACUCUGCUCAGGUUGGAUGUGUUUCCAUACACCCUCUUUAAGGUAUCCCACAACUCCUUUGCUGUCUCACAGUAGCAGUAUGCAUCCAGAAUCGCCGGCUCUAAGGAAGCAUGAAGAACUGACAUCACCAUCAUGUCUUCCUGCUCCCACCUCUCAAAUGGAUCCUUUGCUGUCUCAUCCUUGUCUUCUUCUUGAGCAACCGGCUUUGGGGCCGUUCCAGAGGUAAUGUGUCCCCACAAGCCUUUGCUCCCAACUGCGGUCUUUACCAUCCGUGACCAAACUAGGUAGUUGUUCCCCUUGAACACUACCGCCACCUUCAUCUUCAUCCCACUAUCCAUCUUGAAGCAGCUAGACGUAAACAGCUUGCUAAAUCUUGGACUGAGAGUAGUAAUCACACCAACAAGACUAGAAACACAACCGGAGAAGACUUGAAGCUUGAAUCUUCAACGCCCAGCUCCUAGCUUCUAUCCUUUGUCUUGAUACAAACCUCAACAAGAACUCAGAUUCUCACGAACCUGGCUCUGAUACCAUAUGACUUUAGAGUAAUAAAGAGUAAUCUGAGUGUUUAGAAUAGAUUUGAGAGAGAUUAGAGAAGAAACGAGUGUAGAGAGUAAGAGAUUAGAUCAAGAGUCUAAGAGAAAUGCCAUGGAGGCUAAGAAUACUCAGAACUGUCUAAUCUUAUUAAUGAGACUGAGUUACAUAUAUAUAGUGUCGAGAUUAGGGCUUUACAAUACAAGAGGAUAAGCUAAAGCAUGUGUAGUCAAAGAAGGGUGGAGCGCUUAGUUUAAAAUGAUCCAAUGAGGUUCUCCACAUGUGUAAGGCAUCUAGGAUCUUGGAUAAGAUCCCUUUUACCUUUCCAGCUGUGCCAGACUGUCACGCCCAGCUUCUUCCUUUCCCUUAACGGUCACAACUCAUCCUAAGCUUUGGGUAAAGCUUCUUCCCUUCAACCGAGUUACCCGGGUAAGUCUCUUUUACCUUUGGUCGAGUCUGGUCGAUACAAUCUGUACGGCCGGUACGGCCGGUACGGCCUGUCCGGCCCGUCCGUACCAAACUCUCCCAUGCUCUCCAUUCCUUAGUUCUACACUUCCUUAUCUCUUCAUGCCUUCAACCCCUCAUCUCUUCUCCUUAUACUCAGCUCAUCUUAACACUCCCCCUCAAUCUUAGCUUUGUGAAAGUCUAAGAUUGGACAGCCAUGAGAUCUUCCUCAUUAAAAACCUUACCAAGGAAAACCCAUUGGGAUAAAACCUUGAUAAGGGAAAAAGAGUAAAGACCUCAUGACUUAGGGGAUCAGCUCCUUCUCUUACCAAGAUCAAUGAGUCCCAAUCUAAUGUGAAUGGACUCCAUUGUCUUUUGCCUUGCAGCCUUGGUGAACACAUCCGCUAACUGAUCUUCACUUCUAGUGUAGCAUGGCAAGAUCACUCCUAGCACAAUCAUCUGCCUCACCUUGUGACAAUCAACCUCAAUGUGCUUGGUUCUCUCAUGAAACACCGAGUUGGAGGCAAUGUGAAUGGCAGCUUGGUUAUCACAAUGCAUUGUCAUUGGCGUGGCUUGAUCAAUCUCCAAAUGCUUCAAGAUGCCCUUGAUCCACACCAGCUCGUUGGUCAGCUUCAGCAUAGCUCUAUACUCGGCUUCUGCACUUGAGCAAGACACCACCUUCUGCUUCUUACUCUUCCAAGUAACCAAGUUGCCUCCAAUGAAUGUGCAAUAGCCUGUGGUUGAUCUCCUGUCUGCUCUAUCACCAGCCCAAUCCGCAUCACAGUAUCCAACCACUUCAGUGCUCCCAUUGCAACCCAUCCAUACUCCUUGAUCAGGUGAGCCGUUGAGGUACAUCAAGAUCCUCUCCACCAUGCGCCAAUGAUGUUCCUUAGGCACUUGCAUGUGUUGACUCACCUGAUUCACAGCAAAGCAAAUAUCAGGUCUAGUUAUGGUAAGGUAAAUCAAUUUACCAACUAGCUUUCUAUAGAGUUUAGGAUCCUGAUAAGGUUUGCUGUCUUCAAUCUCCCCCUCUCGUGGGACUUUGUAGCCAUCCUCCAUAGGCAUCCUUGCUGUCUUGCCUCCAUAAGCACCUGCACCUUUCAAAAGAUCAAGUGUAUACUUCCUUUGGGACAUGAACAAACCUUCCUUGGAUCUACAUAUCUCAAUUCCAAGAAAGUAUUUCAUUUCUCCCAAGUCUUUAAUCUCAAACAUGGAUUUAAGAAACUCCUUGGUUGCUAUGAUACCUUCCUUAUCACUUCCUGUGAUAAUGAUAUCAUCAACAUACACAAGGAGUGCAAUCAUACCUGAGGAAGUAGUGAGAGUGAAGAGGGUGUGGUCUAGUUCAGACUUUUUGAAGCCUCGGCCAUUCAGAGUGGUACUCAGCUUGUUGUACCAAGCUCUUGGUGAUUGCUUUAGUCCAUAGAUGGCUUUCUUCAGUCUCAACACAUUCCCUCUCUUCACUAAGUGUUCCAAGCCUGGAGGUGGAUGCAUAUACACUUCAUCCUCCAGCUCUCCUUGUAGAAAUGCAUUCUUCACAUCCAUUUGCCAUAAGCCCCAUCCAAGGUUCACAGCUAAGCUUAAGACAAUCCGGAUUGUGUGAAGUUUAGCUACUGGUGCAAAGGUCUCAAUGUAAUCUUCUCCAUAAGUCUGAGUAAAGCCUCUUGCAACCAAUCUUGACUUCUUCCUCUCCACCUUUCCAUCAGCCUUAUACUUGAUUGUGAAGAUCCAUCUACUAGUCACCGCCUUCUUCCCUUUUGGUAACUCACUCUCAUACCAUGUAUCAUUCUUGAUCAUAGCUCCUGCCUCAGCUCCAACUGAUUCCUUCCAUUCUUUAUCCAUCAUUGCCUCUUCAUAGCUUCUUGGUAUGUAGUUCUCAUCCAAGUUUACCAUAAAAGCACAAUGUUCUUCAGGGUAUUGAGCAAAGGAACACACAGCUUGAGAAGGAUGCUCCACAGCCUGGGCAUUGUAGUACACUCUCGUGCUUACCCAGUUGGAAGCAUCUCUCCUGAUCCGUGUGCUUCUUCUCAAUGCUGGUUCCGGUUGUUCCACUUGUGAUUCUUCUCCACUUUCUUGUGGUACAGAAGUAGACACUUCAACUGCCUCUUCUUCUCCUAGCUGACUUGCUUCAGCUCCAUCUUGCUGUUCACUUACUUCCACAUCUUGAUCAUGUGUACCAGAUGCUUCACUACUCUCUUGAGUUGUCUCUGGUUCACUCCUUUCCCCCCCCAUGAUCAGAAGUGGGAGUUGCUGAACGCCCACCAGUUGGUGGUUGAGAUCCUGGGUUACUGCCAGAUCCUUGCUGAUCUUGUCUCACCUUGACUCCAAUACUUUCUAAGAUGAUCCGCAAGGUAGUGGCUCUCUCCGAGGUAAGAUCCUUCAAGUCUUCUUUGUUUUGCUCCUCAUAAUAUCCUCUCUCUUCAACAAACUUCACAUCCCUUGAUACCAGCACCCUUCUUGUGUCUGGAUUAUAACACUUGUAUCCCUUUUGAGUUGUAGAGUAGCCAAUAAACAUUGCCUUAGUACUCCUAGCUUCAAGCUUGUUUCUCAACUCCCCGGGUAUCAAAACAUAACAUAAACACCCAAAGAUCCUUAUAUGUUCUAAUGAGGGUUUAUGUUUGUUGAGAACCUCAAAUGGUGACUGCCCUUUCAGGAUCAGUGUGGGAGUCCUGUUGAUUAGAUAGCAGGCCGUGGCUACUGCAUCACUCCAAAACUUCUUAGGUACAUUAGCUUGAAACAUCAUUGAUCUUGCAACUUCCAUAAGGUGCCUAUUCUUCCUCUCAGCCACACCGUUCUGUUGUGGAGUGUAGGGACAGCUUGUUUGAUGAAGAAUUCCAUACUGAGAUAAGUGUUGCUUGAAAGCUUGUCCAAUGUAUUCUCCUCCAUUAUCUGACCUGAAAAUCUUAAUCUUGGCUUGAUAAUGGUUAGUUACAUAGGAUUGAAAAUUUUUAAAUGCAUCAAGUACCCUAUCUUUAGUUGGAAUUAAGGUUAACCAGGUGUAUUUAGAUUUUUCAUCAAUGAAUGAGACAUAAUACUUAUGAUUCUCUCUAGAUAAACAAGGAGCAGUCCAUACAUCAGAGUGAAUAAGAUCAAAGCACUUCUCAUAAACCGUAGAAGAGUUUGGAAAAACAGUUUUACAAUGCUUGCCUAAAAUGCAAGCUUCACAAUCAUUGUUUUCAAAAGAAACACCUGGCAACAUCAGUUUUAAAGCCUUAUUAUGAGGGUGUCCUAGUCUAGCAUGCCACAAUGCAUUCUUAUUUAAACUAGGAACAGAAGCAGUAGUAAACGAGCAGCUAAUAUCAGAAACAGGAGCAAGAUCUUCAAGCAAAUAUAAGUCUCCUUUUGUUACUCCUUUUCCAAUCACUUUGCUGCUUUCAAUAUCCUGAAACUUCACAUCAUCAGGGCUAAAUAUGACAUUGCAUUGCAAAUCAGUUGCACAUUUCUUGACAGAUAAUAAGUUUGAAGUAAAGUCAGGCAUAUAGAAAGCUUUUGAGUCUUUACUAAACAGUUUAAGUGUUCCUAUUCCUUUAAUUGGAACCUUAUCCCCAUUUGCAAUCAUCACAUGACCCUUAGUAGGCACAAUGUUCUUAAUUAACUUAGUAUCACUAAUCAUGUGAUGUGAAGCACCUGAAUCUACAAUAAGAGGUCUAGUUGAUUGAUUACUAGCAAGGUGAGCGAGUAUACUAGAUGGCUUAUAUGCAUUGUAGUUAUUUGCACUUCUUAGAGACCUAGCUAUACUAUCAGUUCUAGUGAUGCAAUCUAAGUCUCCUACAGUCCUAGCAAUCAUGGAAGCACCAUAAGAAUAACCAUAGAUGUUACCGUUAUCCUUGAACAUCUUGAUGAGUGCAUCAAUGUCAGCCUUCCUUAUGAAGUCCUGAUCAUUGUUGCGGCUGCUAGGAGCUCCCAUGUACGCCACCAGAGACUUGCCAUCACUUGUACCACCUUCUUGAGCCUUGCUAGUACCCACAUCACUUGACCCGUCAGACAUGUGAGCUCUAGCUUCCCUUUCCUUCAUGAACUUUGCCGGUUUGAGGUGUGGGUGGAGUAUCCAACACUGGCUCUUCUUGUGGCCUUGCUUCUUGCAAUGAUCACAGCUCCCAUUGAACCUCCUAUCCUCAAACUUCCCAUUCGUAGCUCUGUUAGCUUGUGGAGUCUCUCCUUGCUCAGCUUGAGCGGCUUGGUUAGCUAAAGACAACUCCCCCUUCUUCCCAAACAACCCAAUUGACCCUUGCUCUUUCUGAAUCCUAGAACACACUUCCUCCAAGUCAGGUAGAGUAUCAUCUCUCAGCAUGUGUUGUAUCAGCCCACUGUAUGCCGGAUUCAGUGUCAAGAGCAGUCCAAAGACCUUGUCCUGCUCACGCCUUUUGAUUAGCUCACUAGGAUCCACCGUGCUUGGCCUCAACAUCUCUAGCUCGGACCAGAGUGACCUGAACCUUCCUAGGUGCUUGGUAAACUCCAUGUCUUCUUGAGUCAAGUUGUUGAUCUCUUGCUUUACCUCAAAGACUCUGCUCAGGUUGGAUGUGUUUCCAUACACCCUCUUUAAGGUAUCCCACAACUCCUUUGCUGUCUCACAGUAGCAGUAUGCAUCCAGAAUCGCCGGCUCUAAGGAAGCAUGAAGAACUGACAUCACCAUCAUGUCUUCCUGCUCCCACCUCUCAAAUGGAUCCUUUGCUGUCUCAUCCUUGUCUUCUUCUUGAGCAACCGGCUUUGGGGCCGUUCCAGAGGUAAUGUGUCCCCACAAGCCUUUGCUCCCAACUGCGGUCUUUACCAUCCGUGACCAAACUAGGUAGUUGUUCCCCUUGAACACUACCGCCACCUUCAUCUUCAUCCCACUAUCCAUCUUGAAGCAGCUAGACGUAAACAGCUUGCUAAAUCUUGGACUGAGAGUAGUAAUCACACCAACAAGACUAGAAACACAACCGGAGAAGACUUGAAGCUUGAAUCUUCAACGCCCAGCUCCUAGCUUCUAUCCUUUGUCUUGAUACAAACCUCAACAAGAACUCAGAUUCUCACGAACCUGGCUCUGAUACCAUAUGACUUUAGAGUAAUAAAGAGUAAUCUGAGUGUUUAGAAUAGAUUUGAGAGAGAUUAGAGAAGAAACGAGUGUAGAGAGUAAGAGAUUAGAUCAAGAGUCUAAGAGAAAUGCCAUGGAGGCUAAGAAUACUCAGAACUGUCUAAUCUUAUUAAUGAGACUGAGUUACAUAUAUAUAGUGUCGAGAUUAGGGCUUUACAAUACAAGAGGAUAAGCUAAAGCAUGUGUAGUCAAAGAAGGGUGGAGCGCUUAGUUUAAAAUGAUCCAAUGAGGUUCUCCACAUGUGUAAGGCAUCUAGGAUCUUGGAUAAGAUCCCUUUUACCUUUCCAGCUGUGCCAGACUGUCACGCCCAGCUUCUUCCUUUCCCUUAACGGUCACAACUCAUCCUAAGCUUUGGGUAAAGCUUCUUCCCUUCAACCGAGUUACCCGGGUAAGUCUCUUUUACCUUUGGUCGAGUCUGGUCGAUACAAUGUGUACGGCCGGGAAGGCCGGGAAACCCGGGUAAGUCUCUUUUACCUUUGGUCGAGUCUGGUCGAUACAAUCUGUACGGCCGGUACGGCCGGUACGGCCUGUACGGCCCGUCCGUACCAAACUCUCCCAUGCUCUCCAUUCCUUAGUUCUACACUUCCUUAUCUCUUCAUGCCUUCAACCCCUCAUCUCUUCUCCUUAUACUCAGCUCAUCUCAACACUCCCCCUCAAUCUUAGCUUUGUGAAAGUCUAAGAUUGGACAGCCAUGAGAUCUUCCUCAUUAAAAACCUUACCAAGGAAAACCCAUUGGGAUAAAACCUUGAUAAGGGAAAAAGAGUAAAGACCUCAUGACUUAGGGGAUCAGCUCCUUCUCUUACCAAGAUCAAUGAGUCCCAAUCUAAUGUGAAUGGACUCCAUUGUCUUUUGCCUUGCAGCCUUGGUGAACACAUCCGCUAACUGAUCUUCACUUCUAGUGUAGCAUGGCAAGAUCACUCCUAGCACAAUCAUCUGCCUCACCUUGUGACAAUCAACCUCAAUGUGCUUGGUUCUCUCAUGAAACACCGAGUUGGAGGCAAUGUGAAUGGCAGCUUGGUUAUCACAAUGCAUUGUCAUUGGCGUGGCUUGAUCAAUCUCCAAAUGCUUCAAGAUGCCCUUGAUCCACACCAGCUCGUUGGUCAGCUUCAGCAUAGCUCUAUACUCGGCUUCUGCACUUGAGCAAGACACCACCUUCUGCUUCUUACUCUUCCAAGUAACCAAGUUGCCUCCAAUGAAUGUGCAAUAGCCUGUGGUUGAUCUCCUGUCUGCUCUAUCACCAGCCCAAUCCGCAUCACAAUAUCCAACCACUUCAGUACUCCCAUUGCAACCCAUCCAUACUCCUUGAUCAGGUGAGCCGUUGAGAUACAUCAAGAUCCUCUCCACCAUGCGCCAAUGAUGUUCCUUAGGCACUUGCAUGUGUUGACUCACCUGAUUCACAGCAAAGCAAAUAUCAGGUCUAGUUAUGGUAAGGUAAAUCAAUUUACCAACUAGCUUUCUAUAGAGUUUAGGAUCCUGAUAAGGUUUGCUGUCUUCAAUCUCCCCCUCUCGUGGGACUUUGUAGCCAUCCUCCAUAGGCAUCCUUGCUGUCUUGCCUCUAUAAGCACCUGCACCUUUCAAAAGAUCAAGUGUAUACUUCCUUUGGGACAUGAACAAACCUUCCUUGGAUCUACAUAUCUCAAUUCCAAGAAAGUAUUUCAUUUCUCCCAAGUCUUUAAUCUCAAACAUGGAUUUAAGGAACUCCUUGGUUGCUAUGAUACCUUCCUUAUCACUUCCUGUGAUAAUGAUAUCAUGAACAUACACAAGGAGUGCAAUCAUACCUGAGGAAGUAGUGAGAGUGAAGAGGGUGUGGUCUAGUUCAGACUUCUUGAAGCCUCGUCCAUUCAGAGUAGUACUCAGCUUGUUGUACCAAGCUCUUGGUGAUUGCUUCAGUCCAUAGAUAGCUUUCUUCAGUCUCAACACAUUCCCUCUCUUCACUAAGUGUUCCAAGCCUGGAGGUGGAUGCAUAUACACUUCAUCCUCCAGCUCUCCUUGUAGAAAUGCAUUCUUCACAUCCAUUUGCCAUAAGCCCCAUCCAAGGUUCACAGCUAAGCUUAAGACAAUCCGGAUUGUGUGAAGUUUAGCUACUGGUGCAAAGGUCUCAAUGUAAUCUUCUCCAUAAGUUUGAGUAAAGCCUCUUGCAACCAAUCUUGACUUCUUCCUCUCCACCUUUCCAUCAGCCUUAGGUCUCAAUGUAAUCCUCUCCAUAAGUUUGAGUGAAACCUCUUGCAACCAGUCUUGACUUCUUCCUCUCAAUUGUUCCAUCAGCCUUAUACUUGAUUGUGAAGAUCCAUCUACUAGUCACAGCCUUCUUCCCUUUUGGUAACUCACUCUCAUACCAUGUAUCAUUCUUGAUCAUAGCUCCUGCCUCAGCUCCAACUGACUCCUUCCAUUCUUUAUCCAUGAUUGCUUCUUCAUAGCUUCUUGGGAUGUAGUUCUCAUCCAAGUUAACCAUGAAGGCACAAUGUUCUUCAGGGUAUUGAGCAAAGGAACACACAACUUGAGAAGGAUGCUCCACAGCUUGGGCAUUGUAGUACACUCGCGUGUUUACCCAAGAGGAAGGAUCCUUUCUCAGCCUUGUGCUCCUCCUCAAUACAGGUUGUUCUUGCUCUUGAACCGGCUCAGCUUGUGUAUGCGGUUCUUGUGCUUCACUCUGAUGUUCUUCCUCUCCUUGGUCUUGCUCACCUUGAUGAUGAGAACCUGAGUUGAACUCUUCUCCUUCCUCACUCAAGCCGACUCCUUCUUGGCCAUUUUCUUGAGUUUCAGGUUCACUUCCCCCCUCAUGAUCAAGGUGAGGUGUUUGAGCAGCUCCACUUGGUGCAGUUGAGCUCUCUUCUUGUCUUCCACUUCUUGUGGAUUGAUCCUGGUUCAUCUUGAUACCAAGACCUUCCAAAAUGAUUCUUAAGACUCCAGCCUUAUCUGAUGUGAGAUCCUUCAAAUCUUCUUGAUUCUUCUCCUCAUAGUAUCCUCUUUCUUCAAUGAACUUCACAUCUCUAGAUACAAGCACCCUUCUAGCUUCUGGAUCAUAACACUUAUAUCCUUUUUGAGUUGUUGAGUAGCCAAUGAACAUUGCCUUUCUGCUCCUUGCUUCUAGCUUGUUCCUCAACUCUCCUGGUACUAGAACAUAGCAUAAGCAUCCAAACACUCUCAUGUAUUCCAAGGAUGGCUUGUGCUUGUUCAGAACUUCAAAUGGUGCUUGAUCCUUCAACACCUUUGUAGGCAUCCUGUUGAUUAGGUAGCACGCAGUGGAUACAGCAUCACUCCAGAAUCUCUUAGGUACAUUGGCUUGGAACAUCNNNNNNNNNNNNNNNNNNNNNNNNNNNNNNNNCAUCACUCCAGAAUCUCUUAGGUACAUUAGCUUGGAACAUCAGUGACCGAGCCACUUCCAUCAAGUGCCUGUUCUUCCUCUCAGCUACACCAUUCUGUUGUGGUGUGUAGGGACAGCUUGUUUGAUGAAGGAUUCCAUGGUGAUCUAGAUGACUCUUGAACGCAUAGCUUGUGUCCUCUCCUCCAUUAUCUGAUCUCAAAAUUUUAAUCCUAGCAUGAUAAUGGUUAGUCACAUAAGCUUGAAAGUUCUUGAAUGCAUCUAUCACCCUAUCUUUUGAUGGAAUGAGUGUUAACCAGGUGUAUUUAGAUUUUUCAUCAAUGAAUGUGACAAAAUACUUAUGAUUAUCUCUAGAAAAACUAGGUGCAGUCCACACAUCAGUAUGAAUCAAAUCAAAGCAAUUUUCAUAAACAGUAGAUGUUCUUGGAAACACAUUCUUACAAUGCUUGCCUAAAAUGCAAGCUUCACACUUAUUAUUUUCAAAAACCACACCUGGUAACAUCAAGUUUAAAGCCCUCUCAUGGGGAUGACCUAGUCUAGCAUGCCACAAUGCAUUUUUAUUCAAACUAGAAGCAGAAGUAAAUGAGCAGUUAUAAUUGGAAACAGGAUCAAGCUUCUCAAGCAUGUAUAAGUCUCCCUUUGUAACUCCUUUUCCAAUCAAUUGGCUGCUCUCAAUAUCCUGAAACUUCACAUCAUUAGGACUGAAUAUAACAUUGCAAUUUAAAUCAGUAGUGCAUUUCUUAACUGAAAGUAGGUUUGAUGUGAAUUCCGGAAUAUAAAAAGCUCUAGUGUUCUUAUCAAAUAGCUUUAAGUUUCCUAUUCCCUUAAUAGGUAUUUUAUCCCCAUUUGCAAUCAUCACACAUCCAUUAGUAGGUUCUAUAUCUUUAAUCAGGUUGGUGUCACUAAUCAUAUGAUGAGAUGCACCUGAAUCUAUAAUCAAUGGUUUGGAUGUAUUGCUAGCACUAUGGCAGAUGCUAAUCUGUGAUCUAUAUGCAUUCAUCCUAGCAUUUCUAUCAAUGCAAUGCUCAAUUCCAGUCUUACUAUCAAUCCUAGCAAUCUCAGCCACAUUAGGAGUCAUUUCUAUAGUUCUAGCAAUCAUAGAAGCACCAAAUGAAUACCCAUGAAUGUUACCAUUAUCCUUGAGCAUUUUGAUGAGUGCAUCCAUCUCGGAUCUCCUGAUGAAGUCUUGAUCAUUGCCUCGGGGGUUGAUAGCUCCAGUGUAGGUCACCAAAGCCUUUCCAUCUCCUUCACGGUUCUCCACUUCAGCUCCACGGUUGGAUGGCCCUGCUCCGCUUGAUCCUUCAGUCAUGUGAGCUUUUGCCUCUCUCUCCUUCAUGAACUUAGCCGGCUUCAAGUGGGGAUGGAGUAUCCAGCACUGACUCUUCUUGUGUCCAUGCUUCUUGCAGUGAUCACAAUUCCCAUUGAACUUCCUAUCCUCAUACUUGUUGUAACCAGCUUUGUUAGCUUGUGGAGGCUCUUCCCGGUCAGGUUGCACAGCGUUUGCAAGAGAUAAGUCUCCCUUGCCUCCAAACAAACCCAUUGAGCCCUGCUCCUUCUGUAUCUUAGCACACACCUCUUCAAGGUCAGGCAGCUUCUCAGACCAUAGCAUGUGCUGGAUAAGACCACUGUAGCUUGCAUUCAACGUGAGCAGCAACCCAAAGACCUUGUCCUGCUCGCGUCUCUCAUUUAGAAGCUCUGGAUCAACCGUGCUUGGCCUCAGCAUCUCCAACUCAGACCAAAGAGACCUGAACCUCCCCAAGUGCUUAGUGAACUCCGUGUCAUCUUGAGUUAACCCAUUGAUUGCCUUCUUGACUUCAAACACUCGGUUCAGGUUAGAAGUGUUUCCAUACACUUUCUGUAGAGUAUCCCACAGCUCCUUGGCUGUCUCACAGUAGCUAUAAGCAUCUAGUAUAGCCGGCUCCAAAGAGGCAUGUAGGACAGACAUCACCAUCAUGUCUUCUUGUUGCCACUUCUCUACAACGCUCUCCUCGGGACUCUCCGUUUCACCCCCCUGAGUAAUCACCUUUGGAGCCUCACCAGAUGUGAUAUGCUUCCACAAACCCUUGCUUCCCACAGCAGUUUUCACCAUCCUAGACCAGACUAGGUAGUUGGUUCCUUUGAAUGUCACCGCGACCUUCAUCUUCAUGCCACUCUCCAUCUUGAACAGCUUGACGUUUAAAACUUGAACAACCGGUUAGAUCUUGAACUGAGAACCCACGCUGCUCUCUAGAACACAGAUUCACUCUUGAGUCUUCAAAUGAACCUCCCACGGACCACCAAGACACACACAAAACACCUUGAGCUUUUGAACUCUCACGAAACUCUCAAACACACUCACUUGUUCUCUUAAAGUUUCAAACUUGAAUCCUUAAGAGAAUCACUCACGAACUCAGAUUGUAAUCAACCUGGCUCUGAUACCAUAUGACUUUUAGGAAUAUAAAGAUUAAUCUGAGUUUAGAAUAGGAUUAAGGAAGAGAAUAAGAGAUUUACGAAACUGAUUAGAGACUAAUGGAGAAUCAUGAUGAAAUGAGUAAAGAGAAAGAUUGUUUAGAACUGUCUAAUCUUUAUUAAGAGAUGAGAUUACAUAUAUAUAGGUCCAUACACUUAGGGUUUUCGAAAUCAUAAAGCUAAGUAAGCAUGUAGAGUCAAAGAGGAGCCUAAGCUUUAAUUUGAACCGGCCAAUGAGUGUCUUCACACGUUUGGAGCAUCUUCUUGAUCCAAGACUAGAUGCUCUUCCUUUCCAGCUCUUGCCAGCCUGUCCUAGCUGUCAAGCCGCGUCUCCCUUAUCCUCUCAACGUUCGGAUAAGGUCUUGGCCGAGUGUAACUAAAGCUCAGUACAUGGGAGUUACUUGGAUAGUUACUUGAUCCCUUUUACCUUGUACGGAUGAUCACUUGUACGGCCUUGUACGGAUGAUCAACCCAUUUCUCCUCUUCACCUCUUUGCUCUCUUUAUGUUCUCAACUCCUUUGUGUCUUUACCUCAAAUGUCUCAACUCUGAUUAACACUCCCCCUCAAGCUUAGCUUUGUGAAAGUCUAAGCUUGGACAGCCAUGAGAUCUUCCUCAUUAAAAACCUUACCAAGGAAAACCCAUUGGGAUAAAACCUUGAUAAGGGAAAAAGAGUAAAGACCUCACAGCCAAAGGGGAUCAGCUCCUUCUCUUCCCAAGAUCAAUGAGGCCCAACCUGAUGUGAAUGGACUCCAUUGUCUUCUGUCUUGCAGCCUUGGUGAACACAUCCGCUAACUGAUCUUCACUUCUUGUGUAGCAUGGCAAGAUGACUCCUAAGAUGAUCAUCUGCCUCACCUUGUGACAAUCCACUUCAAUGUGCUUGGUUCUCUCAUGGAACACCGAGUUGGAGGCAAUGUGGAUGGCAGCUUGGUUAUCACAAUGCAUUGUCAUUGGCGUGGCUUGAUCAAUCUCCAAAUGCUUUAAGAUGCCCUUGAUCCACACCAGCUCGUUGGUCAGCUUCAGCAUAGCUCUAUACUCAGCUUCUGCACUUGAGCAAGACACCACCUUCUGCUUCUUACUCUUCCAAGUAACCAAGUUGCCUCCAAUGAAUGUGCAAUAGCCUGUGGUUGAUCUCCUGUCUGCUCUAUCACCAGCCCAAUCCGCAUCACAAUAUCCAACCACUUCAGUACUCCCAUUGCAACCCAUCCAUACUCCUUGAUCAGGUGAGCCGUUGAGAUACAUCAAGAUCCUCUCCACCAUGCGCCAAUGAUGUUCCUUAGGCACUUGCAUGUGUUGACUCACCUGAUUCACAGCAAAGCAAAUGUCAGGCCUAGUUAUGGUAAGGUAAAUCAAUUUGCCAACUAGCUUUCUAUAGAGUUUAGGAUCCUGAUAAGGUUUGCUGUCUUCAAUCUCCCCCUCUCGUGGGACUUUGUAGCCAUCCUCCAUAGGCAUCCUUGCUGUCUUGCCUCCAUAAGCACCUGCACCUUUCAAAAGAUCAAGUGUAUACUUCCUUUGGGACAUGAACAAACCUUCCUUGGAUCUACAUAUCUCAAUUCCAAGAAAGUAUUUCAUUUCUCCCAAGUCUUUAAUCUCAAACAUGGAUUUAAGGAACUCCUUGGUUGCUAUGAUACCUUCCUUAUCACUUCCUGUGAUAAUGAUAUCAUCAACAUACACAAGGAGUGCAAUCAUACCUGAGGAAGUAGUGAGAGUGAAGAGGGUGUGGUCUAGUUCAGACUUCUUGAAGCCUCGUCCAUUCAGAGUAGUACUCAGCUUGUUGUACCAAGCUCUUGGUGAUUGCUUCAGUCCAUAGAUAGCUUUCUUCAGUCUCAACACAUUCCCUCUCUUCACUAAGUGUUCCAAGCCUGGAGGUGGAUGCAUAUACACUUCAUCCUCCAGCUCUCCUUGUAGAAAUGCAUUCUUCACAUCCAUUUGCCAUAAGCCCCAUCCAAGAUUCACAGCCAAGCUUAAUACAAUCCGGAUUGUGUGCAGUUUAGCUACUGGUGCAAAGGUCUCAAUGUAAUCCUCUCCAUAAGUUUGAGUGAAACCUCUUGCAACCAGUCUUGACUUCUUCCUCUCAAUUGUUCCAUCAGCCUUAUACUUGAUUGUGAAGAUCCAUCUACUAGUCACAGCCUUCUUCCCUUUUGGUAACUCACUCUCAUACCAUGUAUCAUUCUUGAUCAUAGCUCCUGCCUCAGCUCCAACUGACUCCUUCCAUUCUUUAUCCAUGAUUGCUUCUUCAUAGCUUCUUGGGAUGUAGUUCUCAUCCAAGUUAACCAUGAAGGCACAAUGUUCUUCAGGGUAUUGAGCAAAGGAACACACAACUUGAGAAGGAUGCUCCACAGCUUGGGCAUUGUAGUACACUCGCGUGUUUACCCAAGAGGAAGGAUCCUUUCUCAGCCUUGUGCUCCUCCUCAAUACAGGUUGUUCUUGCUCUUGAACCGGCUCAGCUUGUGUAUGCGGUUCUUGUGCUUCACUCUGAUGUUCUUCCUCUCCUUGGUCUUGCUCACCUUGAUGAUGAGAACCUGAGUUGAACUCUCCUUCCUCACUCAAGCCGACUCCUUCUUGGCCAUUUUCUUGAGUUUCAGGUUCACUUCCCCCCUCAUGAUCAAGGUGAGGUGUUUGAGCAGCUCCACUUGGUGCAGUUGAGCUCUCUUCUUGUCUUCCACUUCUUGUGGAUUGAUCCUGGUUCAUCUUGAUACCAAGACCUUCCAAAAUGAUUCUUAAGACUCCAGCCUUAUCUGAUGUGAGAUCCUUCAAAUCUUCUUGAUUCUUCUCCUCAUAGUAUCCUCUUUCUUCAAUGAACUUCACAUCUCUAGAUACAAGUACCCUUCUAGCUUCUGGAUCAUAACACUUAUAUCCUUUUUGAGUUGUUGAGUAGCCAAUGAACAUUGCCUUUCUGCUCCUUGCUUCUAGCUUGUUCCUCAACUCUCCUGGUACUAGAACAUAGCAUAAGCAUCCAAACACUCUCAUGUAUUCCAAGGAUGGCUUGCGCUUGUUCAGAACUUCAAAUGGUGCUUGAUCCUUCAACACCUUUGUAGGCAUCCUGUUGAUUAGGUAGCACGCAGUGGAUACAGCAUCACUCCAGAAUCUCUUAGGUACAUUAGCUUGGAACAUCAGUGACCGAGCCACUUCCAUCAAGUGCCUGUUCUUCCUCUCAGCUACACCAUUCUGUUGUGGUGUGUAGGGACAGCUUGUUUGAUGAAGGAUUCCAUGGUGAUCUAGAUGACUCUUGAACGCAUAGCUUGUGUACUCUCCUCCAUUAUCUGAUCUCAAAAUUUUAAUCCUAGCAUGAUAAUGGUUAGUCACAUAAGCUUGAAAGUUCUUGAAUGCAUCUAUCACCCUAUCUUUUGAUGGAAUGAGUGUUAACCAGGUGUAUUUCGAUUUUUCAUCAAUGAAUGUGACAAAAUACUUAUGAUUAUCUCUAGAAAAACUAGGUGCAGUCCACACAUCAGUAUGAAUCAAAUCAAAGCAAUUUUCAUAAACAGUAGAUGUUCUUGGAAACACAUUCUUACAAUGCUUGCCUAAAAUGCAAGCUUCACACUUAUUAUUUUCAAAAACCACACCUGGUAACAUCAAGUUUAAAGCCCUCUCAUGGGGAUGACCUAGUCUAGCAUGCCACAAUGCAUUUUUAUUCAAACUAGAAGCAGAAGUAAAUGAGCAGUUAUAAUUGGAAACAGGAUCAAGCUUCUCAAGCAUGUAUAAGUCUCCCUUUGUAACUCCUUUUCCAAUCAAUUGGCUGCUCUCAAUAUCCUGAAACUUCACAUCAUUAGGACUGAAUAUAACAUUGCAAUUCAAAUCAGUAGUGCAUUUCUUAACUGAAAGUAGAUUUGAUGUGAAUUCCGGAAUGUAAAAAGCUCUAGUGUUCUUAUCAAAUAGCUUUAAGUUUCCUAUUCCCUUAAUAGGUAUCUUAUCCCCAUUUGCAAUCAUCACACAUCCAUUAGUAGGUUCUAUAUCUUUAAUCAGGUUGGUGUCACUAAUCAUAUGAUGAGAUGCACCUGAAUCUAUAAUCAAUGGUUUGGAUGUAUUGCUAGCACUAUGGCAGAUGCUAAUCUGUGAUCUAUAUGCAUUCAUCCUAGCAUUUCUAUCAAUGCAAUGCUCAAUUCCAGUCUUACUAUCAAUCCUAGCAAUCUCAGCCACUGCACUAUGGCAGAUGCUAAUCUGUGAUCUAUAUGCAUUCACCCUAGCAUUUCUAUCAAUGCAAUGCUCAAUUCCAGUCUUACUAUCAAUCCUAGCAAUCUCAGCCACAUUAGGAGUCAUUUCUAUAGUUCUAGCAAUCAUAGAAGCACCAAAUGAAUACCCAUGAAUGUUACCAUUAUCCUUGAGCAUUUUGAUGAGUGCAUCCAUCUCGGAUCUCCUGAUGAAGUCUUGAUCAUUGCCUCGGGGGUUGAUGGCUCCAGUGUAGGUCACCAAAGCCUUUCCAUCUCCUUCACGGUUCUCCACCAUCUCCUGAUGAAGUCUUGAUCAUUGCCUCGGGGGUUGAUAGCUCCAGUGUAGGUCACCAAAGCCUUUCCAUCUCCUUCACGGUUCUCCACUUCAGCUCCACGGUUGGAUGGCCCUGCUCCGCUUGAUCCUUCAGUCAUGUGAGCUUUUGCCUCUCUCUCCUUCAUGAACUUAGCCGGCUUCAAGUGGGGAUGGAGUAUCCAGCACUGACUCUUCUUGUGUCCAUGCUUCUUGCAGUGAUCACAAUUCCCAUUGAACUUCCUAUCCUCAUACUUGUUGUAACCAGCUUUGUUAGCUUGUGGAGGCUCUUCCCGGUCAGGUUGCACAGCGUUUGCAAGAGAUAAGUCUCCCUUGCCUCCAAACAAACCCAUUGAGCCCUGCUCCUUCUGUAUCUUAGCACACACCUCUUCAAGGUCAGGCAGCUUCUCAGACCAUAGCAUGUGCUGGAUAAGACCACUGUAGCUUGCAUUCAACGUGAGCAGCAACCCAAAGACCUUGUCCUGCUCGCGUCUCUCAUUUAGAAGCUCUGGAUCAACCGUGCUUGGCCUCAGCAUCUCCAACUCAGACCAAAGAGACCUGAACCUCCCCAAGUGCUUAGUGAACUCCGUGUCAUCUUGAGUUAACCCAUUGAUUGCCUUCUUGACUUCAAACACUCGGUUCAGGUUAGAAGUGUUUCCAUACACUUUCUGUAGAGUAUCCCACAGCUCCUUGGCUGUCUCACAGUAGCUAUAAGCAUCUAGUAUAGCCGGCUCCAAAGAGGCAUGUAGGACAGACAUCACCAUCAUGUCUUCUUGUUGCCACUUCUCUACAACACUCUCCUCGGGACUCUCCGUUUCACCCCCCUGAGUAAUCACCUUUGGAGCCUCACCAGAUGUGAUAUGCUUCCACAAACCCUUGCUUCCCACAGCAGUUUUCACCAUCCUAGACCAGACUAGGUAGUUGGUUCCUUUGAAUGUCACCGCGACCUUCAUCUUCAUGCCACUCUCCAUCUUGAACAGCUUGACGUUUAAAACUUGAACAACCGGUUAGAUCUUGAACUGAGAACCCACGCUGCUCUCUAGAACACAGAUUAACUCUUGAGUCUUCAAAUGAACCUCCCACGGACCACCAAGACACACACAAAACACCUUGAGCUUUUGAACUCUCAAGAAACUCUCAAACACACUCACUUGUUCUCUUAAAGUUUCAAACUUGAAUCCUUAAGAGAAUCACUCACGAACUCAGAUUGUAAUCAACCUGGCUCUGAUACCUUAUGACUUUUAGGAAUAUAAAGAUUAAUCUGAGUUUAGAAUAGGAUUAAGGAAGAGAAUAAGAGAUUUAGGAAACUGAUUAGAGACUAAUGGAGAAUCAUGAUGAAAUGAGUAAAGAGAAAGAUUGUUUAGAACUGUCUAAUCUUUAUUAAUGAUCUUGAGUUACAAUAUAUAGUAAGGAGAGCUUAGGGUUUCGAUCACAAAAGGAUAAGGAAAGCAUGUGAAGUCAAAAGGAGGAGGAGCCUAUAUUUGAAUCCGGCCAAUGAGCUUCUCCAAGUGUGUGAGGCAUCUAGCAUCUUCCCAUAGAUGCUGUUUACUUUCCAGUCCAUGCCAGACUGUCAGUCCGCGCCUAAUCCCUUCUUCCUCCGCGGUCUUAUCCACUCCAAAGCUUAUCCUCCUCUCCACUAAGUUACCUUGGUAACUUAUCUUUACCUUGGUGAGUUUGGUUGAUGUCCUAUGUACGGAUGGUACGGCCUGUACGGCCUUGUACGGAUCACUCAACCCAAACUCAUCUCUUCUUUCAUACUUCAUCUCUUCCUCUAAUGCCUUAACUCCCUUAGCUCCUCUUCUCAUAUACUUAACUCUGAUCAACAAAAGUGAUUCAUCCUGGUUUGAUUGGAACGACGAAGAAGCUGUGCUAUUCCCAAACUGGGAAACUGGAAUCACCUGAUUUGAAAGUGGGAUAACUUCUUCAUCCCAACUCCUAUGAGAUUUAUUCAACUUCAUGGUGAUUCUCCACCACUUUAUGUAUCCAAAUGAAGCACAAAGUUAUGACUUUUAGGAAUAUAAAGAUUAAUCUGAGUUUAGAAUAGGAUUAAGGAAGAGAAUAAGAGAUUUAGGAAACUGAUUAGAGACUAAUGGAGAAUCAUGAUGAAAUGAGUAAAGAGAAAGAUUGUUUAGAACUGUCUAAUCUUUAUUAAUGAUCUUGAGUUACAAUAUAUAGUAAGGAGAGCUUAGGGUUUCGAUCACAAAAGGAUAAGGAAAGCAUGUGAAGUCAAAAGGAGGAGGAGCCUAUAUUU
rnacentral:lncRNA from 1 species